GACGAACGCUGGCGGCGUGCCUAAUACAUGCAAGUAGAACGCUGAAGGAGGAGCUUGCUUCUCUGGAUGAGUUGCGAACGGGUGAGUAACGCGUAGGUAACCUGCCUGGUAGCGGGGGAUAACUAUUGGAAACGAUAGCUAAUACCGCAUAAUAGUAGAUGUUGCAUGACAUUUGCUUAAAAGGUGCAAUUGCAUCACUACCAGAUGGACCUGCGUUGUAUUAGCUAGUGGGUGGGGUAACGGCUCACCAAGGCGACGAUACAUAGCCGACCUGAGAGGGGGAUCGGCCACACUGGGACUGAGACACGGCCCAGACUCCUACGGGAGGCAGCAGUAGGGAAUCUUCGGCAAUGGACGGAAGUCUGACCGAGCAACGCCGCGUGAGUGAAGAAGGUUUUCGGAUCGUAAAGCUCUGUUGUAAGAGAAGAACGAGUGUGAGAGUGGAAAGUUCACACUGUGACGGUAUCUUACCAGAAAGGGACGGCUAACUACGUG
rnacentral:rRNA from 1 species